GGGUUAUAUCGAGGGUUAUUAGGGUUAUAUCGGGUUAAAUCAAGUUAUAUUGGGCGAUAUCGGGGGUUAUUAGGAUUAUAUCGGGGGUUUUAUCGGGUUAUAUCGGGGGUUAUCGGGGGUUAUUCGGGUUAUAUCGGGCGAUAUCGGGGGUUAUCGAGGGUUAUUAAGAUUAUAUCGGGUUAAAUCAGGUUAUAUCGGGCAAUAUCGGGGGUUAUCAGGGGUUAUUAGGAUUAUAUCGAGGGUUAUUAGGGUUAUAUCGGGGUUAUAUCAGGUUAUAUCAGGUUAUAUCGGGGUUUUAUCGGGGGUUAUUAGGGUUAUAUCGAGGGUUAUUAGGGUUAUAUCGGGGUUAUAUCAGGGUUAUAUCGGGGUUAUAUCAGGUUAUAUCAGGUUAUAUCGGGGUUUUAUCGGGGGUUAUUAGGGUUAUAUCGAGGGUUAUUAGGGUUAUAUCGGGGUUAUAUCAGGUUAUAUCAGGUUAUAUCGGGAUUUUAUCGGGGGUUAUUAGGGUUAUAUCAGGGUUAUUAGGGUUAUAUCGGGGUUAUAUCGGGGUUAUAUCAGGUUAUAUCAGGUUAUAUCAGGAUUUUAUCAGGGGUUAUUAGGGUUAUAUCGGGGUUAUAUCAGGUUAUAUCAGGUUUUAUCGGGGGUUAUAUCAGGGUUAUAUCAGGCAAUAUCGGGGGGUACCAGGGUGUAUCGGGGUUUUAUCGGGGGGGUAUUGGGGUGUAUCGGGAGUGUUGGGGUGACACCAGGUGACAGUCACGUGAUGUCGGGAUAUUUGGUGACAUCGAAGUGACAUCGGGUGAUAACGAGGUGAUAUCGGGAUGAUAUCAGGAUGAUAUCGGGGGAUAUCAGGAUGAUAUCGGGAUGAUAUCGGGGGAUAUUGGGUGAUAUCGGGGUGAUAUCGGGGUGAUAUCAGGAUGAUAUCAGGAUGAUAUUGGGAUGAUAUCGGGGUGAUAUCAGGAUGAUAUCAGGAUGAUAUCGGGAUAUGAUAUCAGGAUGAUAUCGGGAUGAUAUCAGGUGAUAUCAGGGGAUAUCGGGUGAUAUCGGGUGAUAUCGGGUGAUAUCGGGAUGAUAUCAGGAUGAUAUCGGGGGAUAUCGGGAUGAUAUCGAGAUGAUAUCGAGAUGAUAUCGAG
rnacentral:lncRNA from 1 species